rnacentral:rRNA from 1 species
ACUCCUACGGGAGGCAGCAGUGGGGAAUAUUGGACAAUGGGCGCAAGCCUGAUCCAGCCAUGCCGCGUGAGUGAUGAAGGCCUUAGGGUUGUAAAGCUCUUUCACCGGAGAAGAUAAUGACGGUAUCCGGAGAAGAAGCCCCGGCUAACUUCGUGCCAGCAGCCGCGGUAAUACGAAGGGGGCUCGCGUUGUUCGGAAUUACUGGGCGUAAAGCGCACGUAGGCGGAUAUUUAAGUCAGGGGUG